UCCCUCGUGAGAUGGAAUCUCUAUAGAGGUCCAGGCGUAUCUCUGGUCUGACGAACAAAACUCAUCAUAACGUUAUUCAUGGGGAUUAGGCCGCCGAACAUUGUUGAACUCCCUUACCUACACUGAACUCAUGAAUAUUACAUGUGGCAAACACAUGGAGAGAAAGAGUGCGUU
rfam:Human gut metagenome DNA, contig sequence: F1-T_028780.